GGAGGCGUGUCUGAGAACCAGAGCCCCAGAGCCCGGCGCCUACUCUGCCUGGCAGGGCAGCCUCCUUGGCUUCCCUGAGGUGCCGCUGGAGAAGAGCAAGGGCCCCGAGGUCAGGUUCCGGAAGCCAGUCCUUUGGUGCCCAUGACAUUGGCUGGAGGAUGCCCCUUGCGUCCUUGACCUGCAUUUCUGGUCCUGGCCUGUCCAGCAGGAAUGCAGCCAAUGGGAGGCCCCAGAACCAAGAUAAGAACAAAGAAAACACCUGCCUCUGCCAGGGCUGGGACAGAAGUGUAGGGUCCGAUCCAUGCCCUCCGCAAGGCUGAUGACGUUUUUGCAAGGACGUUACAAAGGGCAGCGAACUGGCAAAGUGGUCCGGGUUUCCAGGAAGAGGUACGUCAUCUGCACUGAAGGGAAGCAGCAGCAGAAGGCCGGUGAUGGUGCCACCGCUCACGCGGGCACCCCUAGCGCGGUGGUCAUCGCUGGACUAACGCUGGACACACCCACAGAAGAUCCUUGAACAUAAAGCCACGUCUCGCUAAGCAGGAGAGGAAAAGGGCAAAUGAAAGGAAGAAACAAUGGA